AGACAGGCAGAGGCAGAGGCAGAGGCAGAGGCAGACAGGCAGACAGGCAGACAGGCAGACAGGCAGACAGGCAGACAGGUAGACAGGCAGACAGGCAGACAGGCAGAGGCAGAGGCAGACAGGCAGACAGGUAGACAGGCAGACAGGCAGACAGGCAGAGGCAGGCAAAUCUCUAGAUUCAAGGUCAGCCUUGUCUACAGAGUAAGUUCCAGGACAACCAGGGUUGGACAGUGAAGGAAACCAUGAAACAUAGAGAGCUGAUGAAGAGGUGAUUGUGCACAACUUGGCAGUUUUGGCCACAUGGUUCUACCUAUAAAGUCAAGGCUAGAAGAAAGGGGUUAUGGAAUCUUUGUUCAUAACUAAGGAAAGCCUCUGAGGCUAGGCAUGAGGCAGGGGUGUCCCUGCAUGGAGGUCCAGAGAGGCCGUGUGUGAAGCUGUGAAGGUGAAGCCUGGAUUGCCUUAACCUGAAGAUGUUGGAGAUACCAGAGCCUUGGAAUACCUGCUGAGGAAAACUGAUAUCAAUAUAAUUGGAGGAGAAGAAAGCCUGUGUAACAAGCAACUGACUCUUGGCUUUGACAGAAGACUCUACGCAAGCUCAUCUUGACAUCCUUUUUGUGCUGGGAAGCUGUGAUGGGGAAACUCCAUUAUAGAGCUGGCUUUCCACAUCUCUGCCUCAGCAGCUAGGGCUUCUGGGAAACACAGAAGCACCAAGUAUGGUCUGCAGAGGAACUGGGAGAAAGAGUGGAUACUUGUCAGGGAGGGGUUGUUUAUAUCUGAACAGGUUUCCCUCUUAGUCCUUGUUUCUUCUUUCUCUGUGAUCUGCUCGCUAUCAUAGGAUUAAUUCCAGUCUCUUGGUUGCACUCCACAAAAUACCACUUAUGAAGUGAACCCCAGAGAGCUGGCUGGUGACAUUGCCCCAAAUAAAUUGUAUCAUUUUCUGAAA